rnacentral:rRNA from 1 species
CUGCUAUCGAGGUUCGACUAAGCCAUGCGAGUCGAAUGUAGCAAUACAUGGCGAACUGCUCAGUAACACGUGGACAACCUGCCCUUAGGACGGGGAUAAACCCGGGAACUGGGUAUAAUACCCGAUAGGUCUCGAUUGCUGGAAUGCAUCGAGAUUUAAAGCUCCGGCGCCUAAGGAUGGGUCUGCGGCCUAUCCAGGGUAGUAGUGGGUCGUAGCGUACCUACUAGCCUACGACGGGUACGGGUUGUGAGAGCAAGAGCCCGGAGAUGGAUUCUGAGACACGAAUCCAGGCCCCUACGGGGUGCAGCAGGCGCGAAAACUUUACAAUGCUGGCAACAGCGAUAAGGGAACCUCGAGUGCCAGGUUACAAAUCUGGCUGUCGAGAUGCCUAAAAAGCAUUUCAUAGCAAGGGCCGGGCAAGACCGGUGCCAGCCGCCGCGGUAACACCGGCGGCUCGAGUGGUAACCGUUAUUAUUGGGUCU